AACGAACGCUGGCGGCAUGCCUAACACAUGCAAGUCGAACGAGACCUUCGGGUCUAGUGGCGCACGGGUGCGUAACGCAUGGGAACCUGCCCUUAGGUUCGGAAUAACUCCCCGAAAGGGGUGCUAAUACCGGAUAAUGUCUUCGGACCAAAGAUUUAUCGCCUUUGGAUGGGCCCGCGUUGGAUUAGCUAGUUGGUAGGGUAAAAGCCUACCAAGGCGACGAUCCAUAGCUGGUCUGAGAGGAUGAUCAGCCACACUGGGACUGAGACACGGCCCAGACUCCUACGGGAGGCAGCAGUGGGGAAUAUUGGACAAUGGGCGAAAGCCUGAUCCAGCAAUGCCGCGUGAGUGAUGAAGGCCUUAGGGUUGUAAAGCUCUUUUACCCGGGAUGAUAAUGACAGUACCGGGAGGAUAAGCUCCGGCUAACUCCGUG
rnacentral:rRNA from 1 species